rnacentral:piRNA from 1 species
UGGCCAGGUGGACACGAUGGGUUC